UUCCUACUGUCGAGUCGUAAAUAAGACGAAACGCGCAUCCUGCAA
rnacentral:hammerhead_ribozyme from 1 species